AGUAAUUCCAUGAAUUAAAGGCAGUUGUCUGAAUGACCAAAGGUACAUAGCAUGAAAAAUCUCAUUCAGUAGAGGCAGAGACUGGUGGAUCAAUAUGUUUCCUAUGUAGAUUUGUUAAUUCGUGCUUUAAAUUACUAGAUAUAGAAUACUAUGAUGUGUUGGUAUGCAGAGCAAGCACAGAAUUAAGAGCAUAAUUGAAGCACUGUUGUCUUACACUAGAGAAGGAGUUGCUGCUCUCUGCCUUGGACACAGCAGCCUGAUACAGAGCCAAUUUUUCUUUCAAGGAGACAGUCUCCUCGAAGUCCAUCAGUGUGUUCCCAGCCUUGGCAGUACUCUCUUCUGAUAAUCCUCUUGCACGUUUGCGACGACCCACUGCAAAUACAAAGAGAUCGUGAUUCCUGAGUAGGAAACAGAUUAAGUAUGAAUUCUCUUAUCUGCAGCUACAUAAGUCCAGGGUAACUCCAUUGAAAUUGGUGGACAUGAUGAGACAGAAGUAUUAAUGACGUAAUCCUGAUGGUAUGAGUGUUCUUCCUGAGUUGAUCCUGUUUGUUUAAAAACUGCAUUCAACUACAGCAUUGCAAGUCUCCAAUAAUGGAUGCUUUUGCAACUGUAUGUGUGCGGUCAGGAUGGGAGCAAGCAUGCAGUUGCUACAAAGACUUGUGUGGAGCACCCUGUUUAACAUUGAUAAUAUUUGUGGCCAAUCAAGUCUGGACUGGAGAGGAGGUGGUCUUACUGAGAAGAAAUGGAAGAGCCAUUGUUUUACUGGUUAUUCUGUCUGUGAAUACCAGUGCUGCUACUGUUAACUGAAGAAAUAGAGUUGGAAACAAAUGCUAUUUAUUUUGGCUUUCAUGAGAGGAUGCGUGGGCUUAGGUUUUUUGUUUGUUUAUUAUAAAUUCACUGACAGAUCUAGAAUAUAUGCUUUUCUUUAAAAACUCUCUUGCUGAAACUUGCUUAGAUUCAGAUAAAUAUUGGAUUAGAUCUUCUAAAGUUCUUAAAAUAUUUGUGUGCAUCUGCCUUCAAGUAAAACAAAAUAACAGUUAUGACAGUGACAUUUUCUAAUGUGAUCAUCUUGUAUCUUGUACUGUUGCAGACAUUUACAUUCUUUUGCUAUUUCAUGGUUUUUGUAAUUAUUUUAAAUUGCUGUAAAUUAUUGAAAGUACUCUGCAGUGUGAAUCAGAAAAAAAAAAGAACAAUAAACCAAAAACAAAAGUACUAGCA
rnacentral:lncRNA from 1 species